AAGGGAAUCUUCGGCAAUGGACGAAAGUCUGACCGAGCAACGCCGCGUGAGUGAAGAAGGUUUUCGGAUCGUAAAACUCUGUUGUUAGAGAAGAACAAGGACGUUAGUAACUGAACGUCCCCUGACGGUAUCUAACCAGAAAGCCACGGCUAACUACGUGCCAGCAGCCGCGGUAAUACGUAGGUGGCAAGCGUUGUCCGGAUUUAUUGGGCGUAAAGCGAGCGCAGGCGGUUUCUUAAGUCUGAUGUGAAAGCCCCCGGCUCAACCGGGGAGGGUCAUUGGAAACUGGGAGACUUGAGUGCAGAAGAGGAGAGUGGAAUUCCAUGUGUAGCGGUGAAAUGCGUAGAUAUAUGGAGGAACACCAGUGGCGAAGGCGGCUCUCUGGUCUGUAACUGACGCUGAGGCUCGAAAGCGUGGGGAGCAAACAGG
rnacentral:rRNA from 1 species